GGGGGGGGGGGGGGGGGGGGGGGGGGGGGGGGGGGGGGGGGGGGGGGGGGGGGGGGGGGGGUCAUCCCGCUCGCCAUCUUAGGGGACACGCAGGGUCCGGUGCCGCCGGGGACGGGGCACAGAGCGGGCAGCGGGAAUCCGCGCUCACCGGAGCAGCGCCCCGUGCAUGGGAAGCGGGCGUUGCCUUCUGCGCCCCCAGCCGAGUUCACGCUUCCGCCAGUCGCUCCGGCCACUCGCACUCACGGGCGGGGGGGGGGGGGGGGGGGGGGGGGGGGGGGGGGGGGGGGGGGGGGGGGGGGGGGGGGGGGGGGGGGGGGGGGGCAGCGCGGCGAAAACAUCAUGUGACGCCGUGGAGGGCGGAGCGCCCAGCGCGCGGGGCGAGGGGGCAACGGCGAGCCGACCGGGCCGCGCACCAGAGUGGCAGUGGCCGAGCCAAUAGGAAACGGCAGUCCUUCGCUAGCGAGCCAAUCAGCGGGCGGAGCAGGGAGGCGGGGCAGGUUUCGCUACGCCCUGUCCGGGCAGGUGGGGCUAUGGCGAACGGGCAACGCGGCGGACCAAUGGGAGGCAGUGGCCGUCCCGGGCUGGCCGCGACCUGCAGAGGUGUUUCCUGUGCUGGAAAAAGAGGCGGGGCCGAUGGUGAUUGGCAGGAGUGUUGAGCGGUCGGUCCGACAGCCAAUCCGCGCCUCACACACACAGACGGGGGAGGCAAGGCCAGGGAGCUGUAUAUUCGGCGGCGAGGGCAUGGGAAAAGAUAAUUUUUGAAGACUUCAGUAACUCAGUUUGGAAGCUGACAUGGCGAACCUUGUUCUUGCCAUAUUGAUUGUUAAUGCAAUUGCAGGGAGUCUGCCCGGACACAGCCCACUCGGACCCAGAGAAAAACCCGGGCGCAGCAGCGUGACGUCACCUGCCUGGGCUGCAACCCGGGGCUCACCGAGGGAGGGAGGAGCGCCGCUGCCCCGCUCCCGGAGGGCUCCGUCAGCCCCCCCGCCUGGAGGAGGGGGAGUGGGGGGAGCGUCGCUGAGAGCUGCUUUUAUCUGCAUUGUGGAGGACGAACGGAGCAAGGGAACAUGUGUUUUUCAGAAUUCCAGAAAAUUCUUUGAGCUUCAUUCUCAGAAUGAGUUUCAAGUAUUGUGGUUUUCUCGAGUUGCAAUCACAGACGUACUGCAGCAGCAUGCCAUGUUUAAAGCAUCUCAUCCUAAAGAAGAACUUCAGAGAGAACAAGCUGCUGAAAGAAUUUGA
rnacentral:lncRNA from 12 species